AUACAGACGAGUUGGCACGGGUCGCCGGGAGCAAAAGGAGCGGAUGGUUUUGUUAAUUGUGCCUGUCCAGGACCGGCUGAAUUGACAAUAAACAAGCUUGGAUUUCGAGGGCUACUCGGAGAAGUAACACUCAUCCUGUUCCAGAAGAACAAAAUCACAGCAUGAGGUUGAAACCUGGCACUAACCUGGGGGAACUUAACCAUCUGCCUACAAACGUGUGGAGCUUUGGUAUUUCCAAACUCUGGGCUGGGCGGUCCCGGGACUUGCCAGGCUUUGCGGUGUUCCUCCCACAGGUAUUCCCCUCACCCCCAGGAUCCGUGAAGACCAGGGAGAUGGAGCUCCAAGCAGGUACAAGCCGAAUUGUUAUUGAAGAGCUUUAUUGAACAGGUUAUGCAAAUACACAUGAAGGAGGAGAGGUAAAAACAAAAGCCACACACUGCAAGAAAUUUUUUUUAAAGCGAUGGAUUUGAUAAGCAGACUGUAUUUAGUAAAUGUUCUUCUGAAUCCAGAUUUUA